rnacentral:rRNA from 1 species
GUGACUGCGUACCUUUUGUAUAAUGGGUCAGCGACUUAUAUUCUGUAGCAAGGUUAACCGAAUAGGGGAGCCGAAGGGAAACCGAGUCUUAACUGGGCGUUAAGUUGCAGGGUAUAGACCCGAAACCCGGUGAUCUAGCCAUGGGCAGGUUGAAGGUUGGGUAACACUAACUGGAGGACCGAACCGACUAAUGUUGAAAAAUUAGCGGAUGACUUGUGGCUGGGGGUGAAAGGCCAAUCAAACCGGGAGAUAGCUGGUUCUCCCCGAAAGCUAUUUAGGUAGCGCCUCGUGAAUUCAUCUCCGGGGGUAGAGCACUGUUUCGGCAAGGGGGUCAUCCCGACUUACCAACCCGAUGCAAACUGCGAAUACCGGAGAAUGUUAUCACGGGAGACACACGGCGGGUGCUAACGUCCGUCGUGAAGAGGGAAACAACCCAGACCGCCAGCUAAGGUCCCAAAGUCAUGGUUAAGUGGGAAACGAUGUGGGAAGGCCCAGACAGCCAGGAUGUUGGCUUAGAAGCAGCCAUCAUUUAAAGAAAGCGUAAUAGCUCACUGGUCGAGUCGGCCUGCGCGGAAGAUGUAACGGGGCUAAACCAUGCACCGAAGCUGCGGCAGCGACACUAUGUGUUGUUGGGUAGGGGAGCGUUCUGUAAGCCUGUGAAGGUGUACUGUGAGGUAUGCUGGAGGUAUCAGAAGUGCGAAUGCUGACAUAAGUAACGAUAAAGCGGGUGAAAAGCCCGCUCGCCGGAAGACCAAGGGUUCCUGUCCAACGUUAAUCGGGGCAGGGUGAGUCGACCCCUAAGGCGAGGCCGAAAGGCGUAGUCGAUGGGAAACAGGUUAAUAUUCCUGUACUUGGUGUUACUGCGAAGGGGGGACGGAGAAGGCUAUGUUGGCCGGGCGACGGUUGUCCCGGUUUAAGCGUGUAGGCUGGUUUUCCAGGCAAAUCCGGAAAAUCAAGGCUGAGGCGUGAUGACGAGGCACUACGGUGCUGAAGCAACAAAUGCCCUGCUUCCAGGAAAAGCCUCUAAGCAUCAGGUAACAUCAAAUCGUACCCCAAACCGACACAGGUGGUCAGGUAGAGAAUACCAAGGCGCUUGAGAGAACUCGGGUGAAGGAACUAGGCAAAAUGGUGCCGUAACUUCGGGAGAAGGCACGCUGAUAUGUAGGUGAAGCGACUUGCUCGUGGAGCUGAAAUCAGUCGAAGAUACCAGCUGGCUGCAACUGUUUAUUAAAAACACAGCACUGUGCAAACACGAAAGUGGACGUAUACGGUGUGACGCCUGCCCGGUGCCGGAAGGUUAAUUGAUGGGGUUAGCGGUAACGCGAAGCUCUUGAUCGAAGCCCCGGUAAACGGCGGCCGUAACUAUAACGGUCCUAAGGUAGCGAAAUUCCUUGUCGGGUAAGUUCCGACCUGCACGAAUGGCGUAAUGAUGGCCAGGCUGUCUCCACCCGAGACUCAGUGAAAUUGAACUCGCUGUGAAGAUGCAGUGUACCCGCGGCAAGACGGAAAGACCCCGUGAACCUUUACUAUAGCUUGACACUGAACAUUGAGCCUUGAUGUGUAGGAUAGGUGGGAGGCUUUGAAGUGUGGACGCCAGUCUGCAUGGAGCCGACCUUGAAAUACCACCCUUUAAUGUUUGAUGUUCUAACGUUG